rnacentral:rRNA from 1 species
GACGAACGCUGGCGGCGUGCUUAACACAUGCAAGUCGAGCGGUAAGGCCCUUUCGGGGUACGACGAGCGGCGAACGGGUGAGUAACACGUGGGUGACCUGCCUCAGCUCUGGGAGUAAGACCUGGGAAACCGGGUACGUAAUACCGGAUAUGACUCCAUGACGCAUGUUGUGGGGUGGAAAGCCUUGUGCGGCUGGAGGAUGGGCCCGCGGCCUAUCAGCUUGUCGGUGGGGUGAUGGCCUACCAAGGCGACGACGGGUAG